AGUGAACGCUGGCGGUAGGCCUAACACAUGCAAGUCGAACGGCAGCACAGUAAGAGCUUGCUCUUACGGGUGGCGAGUGGCGGAUGGGUGAGGAAUACAUCGGAAUCUACUUUUUCGUGGGGGAUAACGUAGGGAAACUUACGCUAAUACCGCAUACGACCUACGGGUGAAAGCAGGGGAUCUUCGGACCUUGCGCGAUUUCAUGAGCCGAUGUCGGAUUAGCUAGUUGGGGGGGUAAAGGCCCACCAAGGCGACGAGCCGUAGCUGGUCUGAGAGGAUGAGCAGCCACGAUAGAGUUGAGACACGGUCCAGGAUUGUAAGGGAGGCAGCAGUGGGGAAUAUUGGAGAAGGGGCGAAAGCCUGAUCCAGCCAGACCGCGGGAGUGAAGAAGGCCUUCGGGUUGUAAAGCCCUUUUGUGGGGAAAGAAAAGCAGCAGGUUAAUACCGCGCUGUUCUGACGGUACCAAAAGAAUAAGCACCGGCUAACUUCGU
rnacentral:rRNA from 1 species